UAACACUUUAUUACUAUAUAUUUCUUCCAAUUAUUAACGGACAAAUUACAGUAUUUAAUUUCAUACAAUUACAGUAUCGAUACAAACAUGCGAUACGUACAGUAUUUGUUCAUUUACUCGCGAGGAUACAAAUUUGUCAUUCAGUUUUUGUCAGCAACAGCUAGGCACACAAUAACUAGUGAUUUCAAAUGUUUCACAACACUGCAAAUUCUCUUGAGAACGUUUCUUUCUUAACUUUCCAAUUCACUCGAGACCACGUAAAAAUACAUGUAUCUUCAAUUCCAAUAGCUCAAACAUCACAAAUUAGUCUGCAUAAAUAGCACGUUUACCGGUUUUUAGAUGAUGAAAAUAAUGUGCGAACGACGCGUGAUCGGCGUUAUGAAAUUCUGGAGCAAACCGAUGGUCUUUUUGACAACAUAUAAUCCACGUUAGUAUAAUGAAAUUAAACCAUUAUCCUUCUGCAUAACAAUGAGCGCCAGUAUCCAGUUUAUUGCAAUGUUCACAGAUUCUCUAUAUUAAUACUAUACCCAAAUUCUUGCAGACGAAAUUGAUCACUAACAUGAACGUCUACAAUAAAGGUAAAUGCAUGUAAUUGAAUCUUGUCCGUAAACCGUAAAUGAAUACAACUAUAUGUCGAUUAAUCUUUUCAACGAAGAAACGAACACGAAUAUAAUUCUCGAGUAGAUGUAGCACUGAAAAUAAUGAUAGCAAACCUUGUUAUUCAACGAAACAGUUAUCUCCAUGAUUCCAUACAUGUUGUUUUA